rnacentral:rRNA from 1 species
GAUGAACGCUGACAGAAUGCUUAACACAUGCAAGUCAACUUGAAUUUGGGUUUUUAACUUAGGUUUGGGAGGCGGACGGGUGAGUAACGCGUAAAGAACUUGCCUCACAGCUAGGGACAACAUUUGGAAACGAAUGCUAAUACCUAAUAUUAUGAUAAUAGGGCAUCCUAUAAUUAUGAAAGCUAUAAGCGCUGUGAGAGAGCUUUGCGUCCCAUUAGCUAGUUGGAGAGGUAACGGCUCACCAAGGCGAUGAUGGGUAGCCGGCCUGAGAGGGUGAUCGGCCACAAGGGGACUGAGACACGGCCCUUACUCCUACGGGAGGCAGCAGUGGGGAAUAUUGGACAAUGGACCGAGAGUCUGAUCCAGCAAUUCUGUGUGCACGAUGAAGUUUUUCGGAAUGUAAAGUGCUUUCAGUUGGGAAGAAACAAAUGACGGUACCAACAGAAGAAGUGACGGCUAAAUACGUG